AUACGUAGGGGGCGAGCGUUGUCCGGAAUGAUUGGGCGUAAAGGGCGCGUAGGCGGCCUGUUAAGUCUGGAGUGAAAGUCCUGUUUUCAAGAUGGGAAUUGCUUUGGAUACUGAUGGGCUUGAGUGCAGGAGAGGUUAUCGGAAUUCCCGGUGUAGCGGUGAAAUGCGUAGAGAUCGGGAGGAACACCAGUGGCGAAGGCGGGUAACUGGACUGCAACUGACGCUGAGGCGCGAAAGUGUGGGGAGCAAACAGGAUUAGAUACCCUGGUAGUCCACACUGUAAACGAUGAAUGCUAGGUGUAAGAGGUAUCGACCCCUUUUGUGCCGGAGUUAACACAAUAAGCAUUCCGCCUGGGGAGUACGGCCGCAAGGCUGAAACUCAAAUGAAUUGACGGGG
rnacentral:rRNA from 1 species